UGGACCUUUAGUUUUACAAGAGAAAC
rnacentral:piRNA from 1 species